rnacentral:lncRNA from 1 species
UCUACCAUGCCCCCAGGGCACCGUAGCCCCACAUUUUGUCUUGUAGUGAAGUCAUCGUUAGAUGAAAAGGGAGAAGAAUGUACAAUUCUGAAAACGCCACGUUGCAGAUGAAGCAAACCGGGAGUGCAGGUAAUUAGACUGGAACUGUUGACAUUGCUAAUAUAUUGUUUAAGAAAACAAGAAGAUGAUGGUUUCCAUAAAAAUAAACAUGUUAGCUGGCACAAAAUAAAUGUAGAAGCAAACACUUUGUCAAGGGACAAUAAUAUGUAGAUUAGUAACAGUUUCAUUGUUGUUGGAGGCAUAGAAUAUUGAGCAGUUGUAAUAGUGAAAGGAUAGGAAGUAUUUUAUUUGUUCCUCUUAAAAGAAAUAGGAAAGAGUUAAAUGAAUUAAGUGGGAAGGAAAUAUAGCUGCAUUAAUAAUUUAAUAGUAACUUAGAUAGGGAAGACAACAAAUUGUGGAGUGGAGAGAAACAAAAAUUAUGGAUUGGUAAUUGAUUUAAAAUAAUUUUGGUUAGGAUUUGAAUGACAAGCGGAAUUGGAAUAAAGCAUGGAGCAAGUACGAAAAUGUGUCAAAAUGGGAAAAUGAGUUCGGCAAACUGCACAUAUGAAAUUGAUGGUAGCUGAAAAAUCAACGCAUGUGUUGUUACAUUGGUAUCACCAAUGGCCGGGCUUGAAAUACUUAAAUGUCUCUGAACAUUGGGUGGUUGAAUAAAAGGAGAAUGACCAUAUGGCCAAGAUAUUUGUAAUUUGUUAGUUGAUUAAAUAAUAGCCUUAGUUGGAAUAAAAUGGAUAUGAAGAAGAAUAGUUAACCAAAUGAAGAGGUGCUUCCAAAUCCAGUUUGAUUUGGUAAUGGGCGUAAAUGAAGUAAAUGGUGAUGCAGAAGUAAAUGCAAGGGAAGAGAUGGACAAGCAUGUUUAAUUAAUAUACGGCAAACACAACUGUAACAGUGAGAAGAUACUGGAACUGCAUAUGUAUAAAGGUGGAUUAAAAAAUCCAAGCUGCAAUGUCGACAUAAGAAAUAUACAACAGGAGUUCAAACCACAUAAUUGUCAUACAUCCAUAACAUUGAAACAUGUCCCAUAAAGCAAUGAAUGCUUAUCAAAACACAGUUGAAGUAGGUUAUAUUGUGAAAUAACAGUAAAUAUAGAGCAUAUAGAAUGUGUUAAGUAUCCUAGUUGGUGGAGUUCCUUUGACAGCAUUGGUUUGAAUGUAAGAAAUAGAUAAGCUUUGGCUUUAAUCAUAGGAAGAAAGAUAACAUGGACAGAUGUGGAAGGACGAGCACAUGGGAGCAUUAGGGAUCAUGCAUGUUGGGACACGGUCACCUUUAUAGGCAUGCAAUUUCAAAUAGCAAAAAGAGUAAGUGAAAAUGCAAUUAUGAAUUACUGUGUGACAAACUUACUUAUGGAGUCGUCAUCACUGAUGCUUGAUAGUACUCGCAAGAAGUCAUGUCCAGCAAUAAGAGUUUCCGCCAAAUAUGGAUUGUACUGAAACUGUUAUGACAUGGGCAAUUGUUAACUGAUAAGCUAUUUGUUACAUUAGCAUACAGUUAAAUGCUUGUCAGAUUAGCAUACAGUCAAUGAAACAUAUGUACAACGAGCUGUAAACAUGUAACAUUUCCCAUGUAUCACCAUCUAAAUGCUUGCACUUAACUUCAUUUUAUUACUUGCUGCAAUUUCACUUUUCCUGUUUGUACUUUCCACACAUGUUCAUCGUACAACUUACUAACUUCCCCUUUCCUGUUGAAUUGCCAGACAUACAUUCAAUUUUUAUUACAUUAACUUAAAAACAUACAAAACAUCUAAACUAAUUAGUCCCAUUGUUAUUAUACAAGCACAAGAAAUUAUGAUAUCAUUUUCAAAAAUUCUGUGUGAUUCACAUCUGACUUGUCACUUCGUAGAUGCUUCUACAAAGUUGCAGCUGAAGGCAUAGUCAGCCAGAAGAUAAAGAAAAGGAAAUAUGGCAGACACUUCUCCAAAGUUGCAGCCGAAGGCAUAGUCAGCCUGAAGAUAAAAGAAACGGAAAUAUGGCAAACACACAGAGCAAACCACAAGUUUCUCAUCAAUCAUACAGCUUUAAAUGGGUCAUGUUCAGCUGCUAGAGUAUAAUCCCUAAAUCAUUUUCAAUAUUUUUUUUCCCCUUUACUCCACUAUUUUCUACUUCUCUAUAGGAAAUCUGACUUCCCACCACAUUAUUCGCAGCAACAAUAUUGAACUCAAUUAUUUCAGGUUCAGCUGCCACUAGGUUGAAUUUCUGUUGGCGAAAUCCCUCUCUCUUACAAUUUCAAUACACGUGUUUAUUAACAUAAAAAUAAUAGUAAAAAACUCCUUUAUAUUACCACAUUAUUCAUAAAAUUUCCAGAAAUUUAAUUUAAAAAUUUACGCCCUGCACUCUCAUAUCUUGCCAUUAUCCAUAUGAAAUCUAAUUUCACACCAAUGAAAUCUAAUUUCGCACCAACUAUAUUAUCAGCUACAAAUGAUUCACGUUACAAAUCUCACAUUAAAAUUUCACUAACCUUAAUGAUGGUUUACACAAUCCUUUCCAUUUCUUCAAUACGACCACAACAAAUCCACAAGUCACCACAAUCGUCUUCGAAAAUUUAAUCCGGCGUCGCUACUGCAGCUGUAGUCACACACAAUUAUGAAACUGGUGGUUGCUUUAGGGAAAUCGCUCACGUCAGGCCAAAUACGGUUAAGGAUUUGCAGAACCCUAAAACUAAUCUUGUACCUCAAAUGGGUUUGGGCAAUUGCCCGCUUCACAUCAUUGUUCGUGACUAAAAUCGCAACCGUUGGAUAACACUCUUUAUAAUCUAACGG